GUUAAUGUAGCUUAAACAAAGCAAAGCACUGAAAAUGCUUAGAUGAACUCCAUAAACA
rnacentral:tRNA from 1 species